UACGUAGGGGGCAAGCGUUGUCCGGAUUUAUUGGGCGUAAAGAGCUCGUAGGCGGCUUGUCGCGUCGACCGUGAAAACUCGCAGCUCAACUGCGAGCCUGCGGUCGAUACGGGCAGGCUAGAGUUCGGUAGGGGAGACUGGAAUUCCUGGUGUAGCGGUGAAAUGCGCAGAUAUCAGGAGGAACACCGAUGGCGAAGGCAGGUCUCUGGGCCGAUACUGACGCUGAGGAGCGAAAGCGUGGGGAGCGAACAGG
rnacentral:rRNA from 1 species